GACGAACCGUCCUAACGUUAUUCGGAAUCACUGGGCUUAAAGGGCGCGUAGGCGGAUGAGCAAGUCCGGAGUGAAAUCUUUCGGCUUAACCGGAAAAGUGCUUUGGAUACUGCUUGUCUUGAGGGAGGUAGGGGCAUGUGGAACUUCUGGUGGAGCGGUGAAAUGCGUUGAUAUCAGAAGGAACGCCGGUGGCGAAAGCGACGUGCUGGCCCUCUUCUGACGCUGAGGCGCGAAAGCUAGGGGAGCAAACGGG
rnacentral:rRNA from 1 species